UUUUAAAAAUUAUGUCAAGAAAUUUUUUUACAUGUGUCAUUAUAUUAUGAUAACGUAUUUGAAAACCACUAAGCAUUUGAAAAAUUCUUCUGACGGCAUAUAAAUCUCUCAAUAAAAUUUCGGUAUCGUAAUAAUGAAAUGUCGAAAUUCUCAAUGUUGGCAAAAGUACAUACCUAAUGCGUAUAUAUAAACCUGUCGAAGCACGCUUGAAGUUAGCUGCAACAUUGUUUUAUUUCGUAGGAUCUUGUCUGACUUGCAUAGUCGUAUUAAGUAUCGUGUAUUGAGAGUGGCACCUGCCUCGGAAUCAGAAGAACAGAGCGCCCUCGCAGUGAUUCUACUAGUUACGCUCCUGAAAUACGCCGUGCCGACGUGUGUUUCAGCCAGUGCGAGGGCGUAUUAGCGAGAUGUAGACCUAGUGGUGGGGAUUGAAAGAACGAAGCGUACGUAUGAGAUGACGGCUCGACGAACGAACAUAACUGGUCAGACCGGCGGCCUGGCAAGAACGUAUAAUAGGUUUAGGUUGAAUCACGAAGUGUUUCUUGCUAUGUAAUCGCGUUUUUACAGUGUAUAGUGCGGUUCUAUACUAUUUAUCAUAGUGUUUAGUUUUCAUUUUAUUCUCACGAUCGUUUACUAAUUGCUCACAUUUGGAUACAUUAUCAAUACAAUUUGUCGAUUAAAAAUUGUUGUGAUGUCUUAUUUGUGUGUUCAUAGCUAGAAGAAUGUUUUUGAGCGAUUUUAUAUUCGCAUAUCUGUGAUUACUAUGAUACAUAUCUUUUUUGUAAUUUAAUAUGUUAUUGUUAUUUCGUUAUACACAAUUUGAUAUUGUGCGCACUUGAUAUCGUGAUUUGAGAUUAUAUCACUUUUGUUAUUGUUAUCACUUUUAUUACAAUUGCGAACUUUGAUAAAAUUACGAAAUAUCGAAGUGUGGAAACCAUUACUAAAAUAGUGUCAGCGUUUAUGCGUGUCUUCUGUUUUCUGACGGCACAGUUGAACAAGACGACGAAAUAGAAGUAUGUACCUCAUACUAUCGAUGCGAUACUCAGACAAGGAGCAACGUUGCAAUAUUUCGGAUACUGUGACAACAUCGCAUCAACUCAGUGUUUCCAUUUCUCGAUAUGGCGCUGCUACUUAAUACAGAAAUAAGAACUUUAUUAACCUUUCUCAAAUCAGAGUGCAACCGUGAAGGAAUUAGUCUGAUAUACUAUUAAUAAAUGUCUCCAAGUUGGUAAUAAGCUAAUAACGAUGGAAAUCAGUCGGGGGGUGAUGCAGAUGAUAAAGGAAAUAUACGAGAAAACAACAAAUAAUUACGAACAAUACGAAUAACAUUCGGAAAGAGAUUGGCUGAGAAACAACGAAGAUGGGACUGGACAUUCAUUUGACUGUGAAAUUUGUGAUCGACGUUUUAGCAAUUGUCGAUUAAGAUAUCAAGAAAAUCUUCAAAUCGUAAAAAAGUUACUUCAAGGAAAAUUAGCUCGGCAUGGCUCUUUUUCAUUACCUGGAAAAGGAGAAUAUAUCUCUUGGACGUGUUCAUCAGCCCGAUGUUACUUCAUAGAAUCGAGAUGUGGCGACAGUAAAAAAAGGGACGAAAUGGCGAUACGAUUGUAUAGAAAUAUUCCAGAUUACACGUGGAGAUUGGAAUCAAGCAUAGCGAGAAUAGGCAUACAGACCAAACAGAGAACCGAUAAGUAUGCAUACUGAUCAUAGUUAAAAUGAAAGAAAACAAUGAUUUAGGAUUUGGCUAAAAGAAGAUUUGAGGGUACAAAAUGGCAAAUCUUUAGAAUGGGAAACAGAGUCUAUUAAAGCUUUAGAAGUAGGAAUAAAGCUACCGCCAUCUGAUCAGGAAUAUGACAUCCUGGAGAAUAAUGAAAACUAAAAAAUGUAAUGGAAAAUAUAUACGAAUAUAUAAAAAGACGUUUAGAUUGUGAUUAGAUUAGGAUAUUUAUGCAAAACAUUCUUAUAGAUACAAAUAAAAAUUGCGAUUUGAAUAGAAGAGUAAUGUCUUGUUCUUCAAAUAUAGUAAUCUUAUAUAUUAUAUUUUUGCAUAUCUACACUUGUCAUAAAUGCAUAUAUAUCUGCAUUUUAGUGAUAACGAAACGUUUAAGCGUCAUAAGUUUUUGAGGAAAUGAAAUAUCGUGUGAAGUAUUCAGUAUUCGAUAACUUUAUCUUACUACUUUUAUUCGCAGAAUAACUUAAGAAAUCAAUUCAUGGAAAAAAUUUUCCAAUUUACAAAAAAUAGUGCAAUUAACAUUUUGAGAAAAAGAUUCUACUACACGAUUAUAGAGCUCGUCAAACAGCACGAAAUUUUCUGUUAAGAUUUUUUCUAACUUCAUUUAGAGGAGGGAUAAUAUAAUUUGGCUGAAAUGUUAGAAUUCAAAAGCAUUAUGUGUUAUGCAUUAUUCCCAAAAUAUAUCAUUCGACGAAAUCAUACAUUUCAGUUUCGUCGUUGUUAUUAAAAUAGUAUAAAUUAUGUCACGCAUUAUGUGUGAAUAUGUGUAUGUAUACAUAUGUAUAUUUAACAAAAUUUCAAACGGCAUUAUAUUUUAUUUUUUGCUCCAAGUACAGCGCAUAAGGCGCAUUUUUCCUGGGAUGAAUAAAAGAUUGCAUAAAUUGUAUUAUAGUAUCUUGUAACUUGGAUGGUAAGGUCGGAAUAUUCGCCUAAAUAUUCGAUAUAUAAAGUAAUUAUGUCAAAAUAUUUAUCUAUAACUCUUCAUAAAAUACAGAAUGUUACAUAUAAAAAUAUGCCUCUUCUUGCCAUUUUUUACAUAUAAUAGGAAUUGUAGGUAUAUUCGUUAACUGUUACCAAAUACAUACAUAAACAUACAUAUAAGACUGAAAUACUAUUCAAUAUUUUCAUUGAAUGCAAUUAUACUUUUGAAAACUUUAAAUGACUUCAUACAAAUAUAGUAUGUCUAUACAAAAAUUAGUGUACAUUGUUUCAAAUGAUAAUAAACAAUUUAAAGA
rnacentral:lncRNA from 1 species